AUCUACGGCCAUGCCACUCUGAACGUGCCCGAUUUCAUCCGAUCUUGGAAGCUAAGCAGGAUCGGGCCUGGUUAGUACUUGAAUGGAAGACCACCUAGGAAUACCAGGUGCUGUAGGCA
rnacentral:rRNA from 1 species